rnacentral:lncRNA from 1 species
UAUUUUCAGUCUUUACUCAUGUUAAAAUCCUUCGUGGCAUGCAGUAGUAGGAGAUCAUCAAGAAUAAUUGAUGGGUUUCCUUUGUCUGAAUGCAAUCCUGUGAGAAACACAGAGGAAAGUUCUCAAGAGGAUUGUAUGCCUUUCCCUCUAGAUGAUGAUUCUAGUGGUCCUGAAGGGAGCCCAUCAUUUUUGAGGAGGAGGUCCUCAAUGAAGUCUACCUAUGGAUUUUCUCUUGAUAAAAAAGUUGAUAGAAGGGAAACAAUAUUUAACACUCCCAACAACAUGGAUCUUGCUUCUAAAUACAGCAGUGCAUCACAUAAACCAGAAAUUACUGGCUUUAGGAUUGACAGUCUUAGGCCUUCAGAUGAGAAUGUCAAAGAACCUCUAAAAUCCAUGGAACAAAGACCAAUGAGAAGUUGUUCAAGAGGUACCAAAGUUUUCAAUAAUAUUUCAUUGCUCAUUUUAAUAUUCUAUUAUCUAAAAAAACGUGUUGCUAAAAUUUAUGUUCUUUUUUAUUAUCUUAUUUGUAUGGAUUCCACAGUUGUGGAUUCAUUGGAGGAGUUGGUUGAUCAAGAUUAUGUUUUUGUAUCUGGACCCCCAAUGGAUGUGUCAUCUUCCUCAGCUAUUGCUUCCAAGCCAAGUCAUUCACAAUGCAGAUCAGGGAGUGCCCCUCUAACAUCUGUAAAUAUGAAGACCAAAUCAAGUGCACCAAUGCCAAUUGCUGGUGCUGGAAUCACUAAUACAUUUUAUACUGGAAGCUUGGAAAGUCAUAGCUCGGCACCUUCUGGGACUUCACAAGGAUCCAUGGAUAUAGGAGAUGCUUUAGAGCAGCCAUCAACUCACUGCAUGACAAGGAUUAAGUCAUUGCAGCAAUGUGCAUCUGUCAUCACUGAAUUGGUAAAUGAGAAGGUAACUUAUCAAUCCUACUUGUGAAAUCAACUCUCCUUAUUUUGUCCUGUAAUAAAUUAUUUUGUUGGUUAAAAGUGCAAGCAUGGUUUCUGGGUGGCGCUGGACUAAAUCUGCCCCAAUACUGAAUAACUCUAGAUCACUUGUUCUAAUUUGUUUCUCCUGUAGGUCUUUUUAUUUUAGGAUAUUGUAUAGGAAUCAUCAGCUAAAUAACCAUUGACCAAUCAUUGUAGAGCCACAAUCCUGGCUCCAUAUAAAUGGAUUGGGAUCCCCAUAAGCUCUGGUGUGACUUAGUAUCUGAGGUUAAAACUUUUCUUGCCUGAUUGGAAGUGAUCAGUAUAUUUAGCAUCGGCAAAUUUUGUUUUGUGUUUAAAACAUGAAAAUUUUUGUCUUAACAACAAUAUGUGUCAAGUAAAUUCAUAGAUGCAAUGUCUCAUGAUAGAGUAGUAUUUGAGAGCUCAUUUCCAUAUAGACAUUAACUUAUUAUUGAUUCCUGGUCUCUGUAUGUGUGCCACAUGUGUACUGGUCUGUGGUAGACUCACCUUGUGGUAUGUUUUACAGUACCAUGUAUUAUUUCUGCUGAUACAAAUUCUUUUUAACUAACAAUUUGUAUAUCUUUAAAUGACUACAUUGUCUCUUUUUCCUCAAAAAGAUUGAGGCUGGUAAGCAACUAGAAGCAUUCUCAAUCCAGCUUGUAAUUCUUGCAAUUUGGAAGCAAGCACUGCAUAUUUGCCAUACACAGGCUGCCUCAGCUAUGGAGGGAAGUCCAACCCAAGAAACUUCUAGAUUAAGGAGGAGCACUGACAAGAAGCAUGGGAGUCCUGAUAUGCGAGAAUGUCUUGAUAUUGUUAACAAUCAAGGGCCAGGGGAUAUUUGCUCCCAGAUUGAGAGGGAAUUUCUCCAUCAAGUUGGGCAUGCUGAGGAACUUGCUAAGGUUAUUGAGCCUGGUAUGGAUUUUUCACUAUCCUUAUCAAAACUAUUAUGCAGGUGGUAAAUUGAGUGCAUGGGUAUUUGUAGCUUGUAGGAUCAAAUGUUUUCAUUUUCCUUUAUUCUUACAGCCAUUUUAUCUGAUUUAAAACUUAAAGCCACUUUAAUGCCUACUUACAUAUUUUGUAUACCAAAACUGUUGGAUGAUGCCUAAUUGAUAAAUUAUUAUUUCUGGAAUGUCGUGAAGACCAAAACUUGUUGGUAACUAAUAAAGGACAACCAUAUAAGUAAAUAACAGUAAUUGUUUAUGUCAACUAUUUUUGCUUGGAUAAACUAGAACUGAGAACUGAACUACCACAAUUUCAACCAAAUCUCUUGGUUUGAUCCUUCAUGUCAAGUUGUUGGUUUAUCUCUAGGAAAUAUAGAGCUUUAUUCCCAUAUUGCAAGUUUGGGUGUUUGCCUUGAUGCAUUGGCAGGAAGAUCUCCAUUCUAUUAAGGCUAUAAACAUAAAUAGAGAAGUACACACUCCUGAUUUUUUUAUUUUUUUAUUUCAGUAAUGUUUGAUUUUUGAAACACCAAUUUUCUCAUCAUGAUUGCAGGAAGUACAGAGAUGCCAGAUGCAAUGGAGAUGAUAUUUCAAUCUGCCCUUGCCUUGGGUAGAAAUGGGGCUGUGAGUAAUUUAUUUUCCCUGAAAUUUCUUGCACUUACAUCAUAUCAUGCUUUUCCAUGUCCACUUUUUACUACCACAUUCAAUUGAACUAAUUGGCAGUAAGUUUCUUGCUUUUGCUUUGCAAUACUUUUUAGAAUGUAAAAUAAAAGAAAAAAGAAAAAAGAAAAAGAAAAGUGAACUCUUCUGGAAUUAUCAGAAAAAAUAAGUAUGGGUUGUUGUUUGUUUGUGGUGUUACUUUAGUUUUUGACGUCUUGCUCCUCAAGCAACAUCCUAUAAGAAUAUUUUUAAGGUAAGGUCCAACAUGAACUAGUGCACGUGUGAAGAUUGCAUUUUGUCAUGUCUCAGACUCUGAAGUAGAGGGAGUCUAUCAUUAAUCAUACUCUCUCCAUUUGACUUGACAUGUGAUAUGCUGGAAACCUGAAACAUGGCCUUGGUUUGGCUGGUGUCAUUUUUCACUACUAAAGAGAUUUCCUGUCCAUAUGCUAAGACUUUUAAAUUAUAGUCUAUGACUAACUGCCCUUGGCAAAAACUCAGUGUGUCUGCAACUAAAGAUGUGUUAGCAAUAGCAUUAUAUGGAUAUGGAUUUGUGAUCCAUCACAAAUACAAUGACACCUUCCCUGAGAAUACCUGGAAUAAGAUGAAUAACAGCUAAUAUCACAUAAAAGCAAUUUGGUCGUGACAAUUAAGAAUUUCUGUUUCAUACAUGUUUGCAGGUUGAUGAGCUCAUGGGUGAUGUGGAAAGCGCAGUGUCCUUGUAUUCAAAGGCAGUGCACUUGUUAGUGUUCCUUCUAGUGGAAGCACCGUCCCUCAUUCUCAACCCUCCCUUCUCUCUUACAAACUCAGACCGGUAUAGGCUUCGAACUUACAUUGAUAUCCUUAAUAUCAGGCAAGUCCACUCAAGGUCUCAAAGGAUGAAUCUUCUUAAGUGCGAGGAUCAACAAUGCCCCCCUUAAAAACUAGUGUAACUUUUAAUCCAAGGUGCCAUGGUUUCCAUAUAAAAUUAUUUAUUUGUACAGCUAUUCUUUGAGUGACUGUGAGAUGUUGACUAGUGUGAUCCCUUAUUUGGGACUCAGAUCAUGAUUCUAUAAUUUAAAGAAUGAUGAAAUGUGCAAAUUUUUUCCUUCUCUGUCCAUUUGAUGUGCAUUUUCUGACCAGGAGUUUGUUCAGGGAUCGUUGCCAAAAAAGACCAAUCUGGAUGGUUCUAUUAGAUCAAUUCUGCUGAAAGAUAUCCCUUACACAUGCACAACAUAGUACUCAUGUAACUCAAAACUUUUUAUUUGAACGUCAUGCAAAAAUUUUUUUCCUCAGCAAAUGAAAUCAUUCUACUGCUUCUUAUGAAGCGUUAGGAAUGGGUCAAAAUCCGAUAUCUAGCUGUAGGGAACAAUGUGCUUAGCAAAUGAAUCACAUCAUUUUUGCAUUUUAUUUCUUCCACUUUUGCUGCUGAAAAUAUGGGUGUGCUCAUAUGAAGUUGGGACAUGUUUUGGGUCCACUUCGUUCGAAUGAAUGGACUAGCGACUUCAAAUGCAAAUUUUGAAGCCACAAAAAACUCUUAAUGAAUGGGCUUGUGAUUUCAAAUGCCAUGAAAGUUAUCUUUUUUAUUUGUUUAUUUUUUUAUUUUUGAUUUUCGGGUCUGCAGAUACAAAUGCUGUUUAUGGGACCUCAAAUCUACUUGAAGGUCCUGCUUGAUCUAUAGGAAGAAAAUGUGUGGAUAAUUCUUUGCCUUAUGACUGGUUAGGUAGCUGGGUGCAGCUUGUGCUUUAAGCAACGGGCCUUUAUGAAUAACUACCUUCUUAUUCAAAACCGACUAGAGGGGUUCCAAUCAGUAAAAGAGUCUUUCGUCAAAGGAUUAAUUGUCUCAGCAUAAGUCAUCAUCCAUGACCAAGAGUGAAGACAAAUGUUAGGCAUACCGCCUACCACACCAAUGACUCAAUGAGCCGGUGGUCCUAUAACGAUAUGCAUGCGCUGGCCUAAUUAUAUUCAAAAUUUCCCAUGUGCAUUCUCUAGCCUAAUUUCCACUCGUUAAUAGGACCACAUAUUCAAACUAACGCAUCUUCCAGCCUUGUAAGAGUUUCACACAAGCUAAGACCUCAUUCUUAGCUGGCAAAUGUGGACACCUUCCCUCAGGAAUAAAAUAAUAAAAUAUCAAUGGAUCUCCUUUAACAACUUAAUGAAAAUCAGUUCCAGUCAUUUCACAAUUGGGUCUUCGGACGUUGCUGGAAUAAAUGGAACUUGGUAGGGUCCACGGUGAUUAAUGAAGUGAUGCCCAGUUAAAAAGGCAAAUAAAAAGGAUGGAUUAAGAAACUCCAGUUUUGGACAAAUAUGAUUUAUUUAAAAAUAAAUCCAAAAAAUAAAUCCCUUAUUAUCAUGUGCAGAUCCAAAUCAUAAAAUCCCAUAUGAUAAUUAUAAUUUUGAAUUUUUUCUUUAAAUUAUCAAACCUAUAAUUAUUAACUAUGAUUUUAAAUUUAUGUUUAAAACCAUAAUUGAUUUAUGGUUUUAAACAUAAAUUUAAUUAUAGUGGUUGGAAUGUGUCUCAAAUUAUGUUUUGAGUAAAUCAGAAAGUUUAUGAUAGAAGAUAUUCUUGAAAAAUGGGUUUCCUAUUAUUAUAGGAAAUAUUCUAUUACGAGAUCCUUUUAGGAAAAGGUAUCUUUGAUAAUUAUACGUUAAUUUCUUAUAUAGAAACUUUUUUUGUAAUUAGGAAAAAAUAUAGGAUGAAAUUUUAACAAAAAUAGUAAGUCUUUUUUUAGGUAUAAUUUUGGAUUUGGGAUCUUAGAACUUUAAGGUUGUAAUCUCCUUUAACAAUAGUGAAAGUUCUUCUUUCUCUUUGCCCAUGGAUAUAGGCUUAGGGCCAAACCACGUAAAUCAUUGUGUAUUUUAUUUUCGUUUUCUUAUUAUUUUCUCCCUAUCAUUAUUCUUUGUCGUGGUUUCACAGAACAAAUUGGUAUCAGAGCUUCGGUUAUUAGACCUGGAAUGUUGACAAAGUUUGAAGUUGAGAAGUUCGAUGGAAGAAACAAUUUCAGUUUGUGGCACAUUAAGAUGCGUGCCUUAUUGGUUCAACAGAGGUUGUCCAAAGUAUUGAAAGGUAUAGAAGCUCUAUUGACAACGAUGUCUGAUGAAGAGAAUGAUGAACUUAUGGAGAAAAUGCAUAGUGCUAUUCUAUUGCGCUUGGGUAAUGAGGUGCUUCGUGAGAUCACAAAUGAGGAUAUAGUUGCCAAGUUAUGGUUAAAGUUGGAAAGUUUGCAUAUGACGAAGUCUCUUACAAAUCGUUUGUAUUUAAAGAAGUGAUUAUAUACUCUCCAAAUGAAAGGAGGUACAUUCAUUAAAGACUAUCUCGAUGAGUUUAAUAAAAUUAUCAUGGAUUUAAGGAAUAUUGAUGUUAGAAUUGAUGAUGAAGACCAAACCAUAAUUUUGAUGUGUUCCCUAUUGAAUUCUUAUGAGCUCUUUUCAUAAAUUCCAUGAUAUAUGGUAAAGAUACUCUCUCCACAAAAGAUGAUAGAGCAACCUUGAACUCAAGGGAGUUGAAAAAGAAAGUGUCUGAGAGUAGAGAAGAUGACUUAGGUAAAGGUUUGAUGGCUAGAGGGAGAACAUGGAAGAAAAAUAAUGACAGAAGAGGUCGAUAUCUAGAUCAAAGUCCCAAAGAAACAACAAAUGUUUCAAGUGCAAGAAAGAAGAGCAUUAUGCAAAAAAUUGUAUAGACCGUAAAGGAAAAUAAAAUGAGAAAACUUUUAAUUUUGAUGAUGUAGAAGAAAAUUCAAAUACUGCAAAUGUUUUUUCAAUUACUUAAAACAUAGGUAAUUAGUGGAUUCUUGAUUUAGGAUGCUCUUAUCAUAUCUCCCAAUAAGGAUUGGUUCUAUACCUACCACCAACAUAUAGAUGGUGGGAAGGUUCUCAUGGGAACUGAUGUAGAUAGUAAGGUUGUUGGGAUAGACAUAAUUUGAAUUAAGAUGUAUAAUGACAUUGUAAUGACAUUAACUGAUGUAAAACAUGUUCCAGAGUUGAAGAAAAAAUUGAUGUAUUUAGGGAUGCUUGAGUCCAAUGAAUGCACAUAUAAAGUUGGAAGUACAGUUUUGAUGAUUGCACAUAGUGCUAUUGUAGUAAAAAAAAAAUCCCUAUAAUGGACAAUCUUGCAAAUAUAAUGAUUAAGUCCGUUCCUACAGUUAAGUUCAAGUAUUGCUUGGACUUAAUUAGUGUUAGUAGUAUUUGAAGGUCCCUAUGGGGUAUAGGAACGAAAUAACUUGGAAGACUUUCGAAUUUGUUUGAAUAUUGGGAAUUGAGUUAAGGUGGAGAUUGUUGGAAAGUGUUUCAAAUUGUAUUUUGAAUCAAUUGGAAAGUUAUUGACAAUUUGGUAAUAAAAGAUAUUCUUAAAAGUGAGUUUCCCAGUCAUAUAGGAAAUAUCUUAUUAUGAUAUUUUCUUUUUAGGAAAAGAUAUCUUUGACAAUUAUACACUUAGUUUCCUAUAUAAAAAUUUUUGGAAGAGAUUUUGACCAAAAUAGUGAGUAUCUUUUUGGGUAUAAAUUGAGGUUUUAGAAUUUGAGAGCUUUAAGCUUGUAAUUUCCUUUAACAAUAGUAAAAGUUCUUCUUCAUUUUCACCUAUAGAUGUAAACUUAAGGCUGAACUACAUAAAUGUUGUGUAUUUUGUUUUCAUUUUCUUAUUCUCUUCUCCUUAUUAUUAUUUUUUGUCGUGGUUUUGCACAACAAUAGUCACUAAUUAUGAUUUUAUGUUUGAAAACAAAAAAAAUAUAAAUUGUACUUAUUAAAAAAAAUAAAAUAAAAAUCUUUGGUAACUUGAACACCCAAGUGUGUCAAAUGCAGUAGUUUGAUAGUUAUUUUGAUUGAACAUAUACUUUUAGAUUUCUUUUUAUUUUAAUUUUAUGAUUUUUUUAAAUAUAUUCUUUUUUCUCAAAGCUUAGAACUCAACAUGUCCUUGGUUAUGCAUAUAUUUGUUUAAACUACAAACAUAUAUAGAUUAUAAAGUAUUAAGGAUGAGGUAUGAACAUAUAAAAAAUGGACAAGAAAGAACAAAUUGAAGAUUCAUGGUGGUGUGUGAAAUGAAAUCUCCAAUAGAGAUUCACUAGUUAUGCUAUGAAUGUGGUGGUUUGAAAAUCCAAUAGCAUCGUCGUUGAGAAUGAUCAAAUUUUAGGGUGUUACCUGUUGAUACUAGGUAAACUAAAGAUGGAUUCCUCCAUUUGAAGUGGCAAUGAAAGUUCCCGUUUAGAUGUUGGAAUCUGGACUUCCUACUUUCCUGCACAAAGAUGUCCGGACACAUCCUCUGAAGCCCAAGUCAGAUGCUAGGAAAAAUGGAAACCCUUAAAACAAGAGAGAGAGAGAGAGAGAGAGAGAGAGAGAGAGAGAGAGAGAGAGAGAGAGAGAGAGAGAGAGAGAGAUCAUAGAACUCACAGUGUCCUCCCCCUCUAUUCUAUUACAAUAGGGUGUUUAUAGUGUUCAAAGGUGGAGAGAGACUCAAUAGUGUUGAACUGGCCAUUGUAGUGAUGAUUGCGCAAUAUUGACAGGGUAGUGCAGUAGUGACAAGGCAAUCAUCAUAUUUGCAGAAUGGCUAGGGGUAGUGUCAGAGGGCGCGUCAUGACAUAGCUUGUUGUCCUUUCAAUCUUGUUGGUGACCUAAGACUUAACGUGCCUGUCUACUGAAGUAGACGUGAGGAUAGGAAGGGUCCUAUAAGUCAAUCUGGUGUCAGUUAACCAGGACCUCGCAUAUCAGAGAAGAUUUGACGCUAUCAGGGGGAUGCGGGCUGCUCAAUGGCGCAAAUGGUCCGAACAAAAUGUUCCACCGGGUUCCUUGAAGGUUGUCCGAGUAGUGAUGAAGAACUGUCACGUGGCCUAGUUGGGAUAAUGCCACAUGGACAGACGCGUGAAUGUACUCGUGGGUGGACAUGUGGGAUAAGGCUCCUACAAUGCCCUCUUCAGCAUGUGAAGCUGUGUCCGGAUAGAGGUGGAUGGGCUGAGACUAUCCUUUGGAGCCUCCCCAGUGUGGGCGAGACACGUGUCAAUUGGCUACAAAAGGGAUACUCCCGUCGAGGCGUUUUGUCAAGUGGCCUAUCGCUUUGGGGUGCGCUACCUGAUGACGGAUUCCUAGGGUUUUGUUUUCCUAUAAAUAUGGGACCUCAGACCUUUUGGGAUUCAUUUGGACGUUUCUUGUUUCCAAGGUUUUCUUUUCUCUCGCCAUUAUCCCCUCUGCAUUUUACAUCCAGUUACUGUUUUCCUGUCGCCUCAUCGUUUAUCUUCACGGUGACAUUUACAUUCUGCCUCACCAUAUCUCCGAUGGUCGUCCAUCUUCCCGGUGGUCUUGCCAUUUUUCCUAGUUUUGGCCUAGGAAAUCUCAUUUUUUGUCAGCACUGCUUCUUUUGAGUUUUGGUAAGACUUUGUUUCCUCAUAUUGAAUUUUUACUUCAUUUGCCAUAUUUAGUUGCUAUUGGGGAUUAUUUUGAGUUUGUGGUUUUACAUGACACAAUAUAGACAUUGUGGUGUAUAGAAUGUAGGGUUGUACUGGUACUUCUUUGGGGAAGGAAGACCGCCGCUGGUGAUAGGUCCGAUGACGUUUGUUCUUCGCGGUUCACUUCUGUUUAAUUCAAGACCCGUGUGGGGUAUGGUUAAGGUGGAGACCCUUGGUUGGGGUCUACCCUAUAGGCUGAGCUAAGAGCUCUAUUCGGGUAUGGGCUUUGAGUCAGUGUAAGCUGGCCCUUGCACAACUGAGGUACUGCUCAUGAGUAGGGGGACCGAGUGUCUGCUUUAUGAUGUUCGGUCGUUGCUUUUACUAGUGCGACUAGUUAGGGUAAGACGGGUGUCUAACUGAGAGAAUGUAUCAGAUGCACUGAUGCGAAGAAGUCUAUCAAACUUUUUACUGAACGGAAGUUUAGGGAGUGCUUCCAUGUUCCGUAUGGGGUCACAAUCCGCUUGAUGGGUGGUGGCCCAGUGUCAACAGAGGAGGAACCCUUUAAUGCCACUGUUUUUUAGUAAGGAGCAAUUCUAUGCCAAACUCCGUUUUUCUUUUCCCUUCAUCUUCAAGCAGUUUCUCCAUUUUACAAAGAUUCCUCCAAUCUUUCUCCAUCUGAAUGCUGUUAAGAUACUGAUGGGGUGUAGCAUUUUGAAUAUGCUAUACCACUUGGACCUUUCUUUGCUAGAGGUUCUGCUUGUCUAUACGGUCAAGAUGAGUUAGAAAGAAGUUUUUAGUUUGUUUGCUCAUAUUCCGUCACUUCAGUUGGUGAUCGGACUUCCAGAUUCCACCAAGGGCUUAAUAAAAGGACACAUUGUUGUUUCGGGCCCUUCGGCUAGUUCAUAUGAGCAUCCGACUCAAGGAUUUGAGCCACAUCAUUCAUUGGGGAUUCUGGGUAGAAAAGAUUAUUGUUCUCUUGUCAUUUCCUCUAUAAUUAUUGGAUUUUUGUUGAUAUGCAUCUCUUGAUGUAUUUACAAGAAAGAGGAGGAAAAAUUGGUUAGUAGAGUGAGUGGAUAAGACUUUCUUUGACCGACUAAACAAGUUAUUUGUGAUUUCUGUUAGUGAGCGAAAUCAUGAGACUUUGACGAUUGAUCAGAAUUUGCAAGCAGUGGUCCGGGACUCUCAACCGUACGCUAUCCCCACUCUUCCUUGUUUUGAGCUUAGAAUGUUGGUGCCCGGUGAACACCAUGUGUUGAAGGAUCUCCCUUUUUACGAGGAAGCCUCAACGAUAGAUGCGAAGGCAAGGCAAGACCGACUCAAUAAAAGAGAGCAAAAACGUCAGGAGGGGACCCUAAGACAUGCUCCAAGCUUAGGUCGUCCGGCCACCAGCUCUGCUGUUCACCCCUCUUUCAAGAAGAAGUCUGUUUCCUGGCCUGUUGAGAAGACCUUGGAUUUAUCUCCGUCUUCUUCUUCUCUUUCACUCUCUGUAGACGCCAGUAGUAACCAGGGCUUAACCGGAUCGCCUUUCGUGGGAGUCAGUCCGAAUCGGGAGCCUGAGCUAGUGGUGCUAUGCAUUAUCCUUGAGCCAGAAAGAGAGAGAGAAGAAGAAGAAGAAGAAGAAGAAGAAGCACAGAUGACUUUGAAUCUAAGGUCCGACUUCAAUAAGGGCAACAUAAGCGCCUUUCUGAAGCACUUUCGAUUGCACCUCUGCCUACUAAAAAGACUCGCCCGAAGGCUCCUCACUAGGAAUCGGUUCUGGACGACCCUAUGGUGUAGGUGCCUCCUUCCGAUUCCAUGAGACCCGGGCAAGAACUGGUUGCAAAUCCUUCUAUCGAAGACAUUUUCUUGGCGUAAGAUGUGACUCCUGUAGCCACUCCAGGCGGCAAUACUAAUGAAAGAGACGCUCCGAUCAGUUUUUCAAGCUGGGAGGAUAUAGCGACGCGAUUGAAGUCGGUUCCUUACUUUACUACACCCAAACCUCCAGCAUCAGGCGUGAAUGCCUUCUUCCCUUUCACCCGCCAUCAUUUUGUUGAGCUACGUAGCGAUCCUCGCCUUGCUGGCGUGGUUCACCCAUUCCAUGGUACUUUGGAGUCUGUACUUCAGUGUACUUAUCUAAUGCAGAAGUACAUUGCUGAGGAGACGAUGGAAGUGGUAAGAUUUGCUAUUUCUUUGCCCAAAUCUACUUAAUGUUCGACUCUAACACCUGGUUCAAUGUUGUUUCAGGGGGUGGUUGCUGUCCAUAACCUAAUGCGGCAGUGAAACUUGCUCUUUAAAUGGUUGGAGGUCUCGAAGAGCAUGCGUGUAUUUUUUACCUAGUAGAUAGAUAACAAUGAAAGACUUUGCACUCAGUUUGUGCGGGUAAAGAAUGAGCUAGCCGUUGCCCGAAAAGCCGUUGUAGAUGCGAAGAAGUUGCUGAAGGAGUUAGAAGAGGGGAUGCAAGUGGUGAAGGUUGAGGCUUGUUGGAUGUGAGAGGAAAAAGAGGCUGCAGAGGCCAAGUGCAAGAACGCUGAGCAGGAGAGGGACCAACUAAAGAAAGAGCUAGAGGAGCUCCGAGCAGUAUUUGAGGCUCAAAAAAAAGAGCUUGAGGAGCUUUGAGUUGGGUUCAUUGUUGAGAAGGAGCUGGAGAAAAAUUAUCAGAAACAAGUUGAUGAAAUGUUCUUCUUCGGCUACCAAUACUGCAUGAGGAAGAACGACAUCAUACAAGAUAUCCUUAGAUACCCUUCUGAUGAAGAAGAAAAUGCAACAGUUAGUGGCCCGACCCAAAGAGAAAAUGAUCCGGAUGCUACUGAUUCCUCUGGACAGUGAUUUGUUUCCUUUGUACUUCUUUUUUUCUUUCGUCUUGCUUUGCCCGAAUUAUAAUGACAUUUAACACUUAUUAAUACAUAUUCAUUUUAUUCUAUUUGUGUCUUUUUAUUGAAGUUUUUUUCUUUUUACUCAAUUUAUUGAUAAAACUGCUUUAAGUUAGAUACAUUCUAAGGGCGGAGCAGGGGUGUUCCGUCUAGUGUUUGCAAGUGGCAAGCCCCUAAAUCUCCAGCCUUAGAUACAACAUAGGACCCUUCCUAGUUUGCUUGGAGUUUUCCGACUUUUUUUUCCGUUGUGUUUUCAAAGACCCUUCUGAGGACCAAGGUCCCAACUCUAAACGUGCGUGACUGAGCUUUUUUGUUGUAAUGGGCAAUGACUCUUUGUUGGUAGGAUGUCAUCUGGAUGACCACAUUUCCUUUUACUUUGUUUGCCCAAUCCAAGUGUCUUUCCAGUUCUCGAAUUUCGUCUCUCUGACCUUAGACGGCCAUCCGGGUUGUGGACAUGUUUAUCUCUGUUGGGAUAAUUACAUCCAUCCCAUAAGCGAGAGCAAAUGGAGUAGUUUCUGUUAGUCGUCCGAGUGUCGUUUGAUAGGCCACAGGACUCCGGGUAGUUCGUUCACCCACCUUCCUUUGGUUUUUUCAAGCAUUUUCUUUAGCGUAGAGAGCAAGGUUUUGUUUGUUGCCUUUACUUGUCCAUUGCUUUGAGGGUAACGUGGAAUGGAGUACAAAUUUUUUAUCUUUAGCUCCAAACAAAAGGUUCUAAAUGCAAUGUUGUCAAAUUGUGGUCUGUUAUCAGCUACAAUCACUUGUGGGAUUCCGAAUCAACAGAUGAUGUUCUUUCAAACAAAUUUGGAAACGUUUUUGUCCUUGAUGUUGGCAUAAGCUUAUGAGUCCACCCAUUUUCUAAAGUAGUCAGUAGCUACAAACAUAAUUUUUUUUUUGUGCGAUAGCGACGGGUAAGGGGCCAACUAUGUCAAUUCCCCAUUGCGCGAAUGGCCAAGGACUUGUGAUUGGAUUGAGGACCUCAGAUGGCAUGUGAGGAAUGGGUGUGUGUCUUUGGCACCGGUCACACCUCUUGACGUAGUCUUUAGCGUCUUAUUUCAUGGUAGGCCAAUAGUAUCCUUGUGAAUGAGCACAAUGGGCUAGGGUUUGUCCCCUUAUGUGAUUGCCACACAUAUUUUCAUGUAGUUAUGCCAAUACAUACUGAGCCUCCUCGUUGUUUAAGCACCUGAGGUACAGACUUCCAAAGGAUCGCUUGUAGAGGUUGUCCCCGAUCAGAAUGAAGCGGGAUGCUUGCACCCGGAUCUUAUGUGCUUGUUUUCUUUCUUGAGGUAGAUCCUCCGUCCGGAGGUAGGUUUUGAUCUCGUGCAUCCAACCAACGCUUGUUUAACUAGUGUUGCAAAUUGGUGUGACUACAAUUGAUGUAGUUUUGAGGUGGAUGGGCAGUAAUACUGCUUCCUUUAUAGGAAGUGUAACAGCUAUUCUGGCCAAACAUUGACUUGUACGAUUUAUGUGCGGGAGAUUCUCUUGAUGACCCACUUGAUUAAUUUAUCCAAGGUAUUUCGUACCUUAGAAAGGUACUGAGCCAUGCGUUCGUCCUUGGCUUCGUACUCCCCUUGAAUCUGUCUAACAACUAGUUAAGAAUCACUGCAUAUUUCAAGCUUGGAAGCUGACAAAGCAAGAGCAAGAUCUAAUCCAAAUAGAAUGGCCUCAUACUCGGCUUCGUUAUUAAAGACCGGGAAUCCAAGCCAGAUGGCUUGUUACAGUUGUUUUCCGGUUGACGAUUGUAAGAGGAGACCUAUUCUAGAACCCAUGACCUGGGAGACAUAGUCAACGUGGAGAAUCCACCAUCCAUUUUCACUAGGUCUUGCGAGUUGAGACGACUUCUGAGGGAUCUCAACUAUGAAAUCAGCCAUGACCUGCCCCUUUAUGGCUAAUCUGAAUUGAUAUUUGAUUCUGUACUCACUCAAUUCUAUGGCCCACUUCAGCAUUCUUCCAGACAGGUCAGGUUUAUGCAUAAUACUUCUGAGUGGUUGAUUUGUGAGCACGAUUACCUGAUGGGUCUGAAAGUAAGGAUGAAGCUUCUACGCAACACUCUUUAAGGUUAAAGCUGUCUGCUCCAUUUUGGAGUAUCGUAUUUCCGCGUCAACCAUGGCCUUACUUACAUAGUAGAUGAGCCUUUGUUCUUUAUCUUUCUCGUGGUGAAAGAGUAUAGCAUUGACAAUACAAUAAGAUAUUGCUAGAUACAUAUACAGUUCUUUGCCGGGCUGAGGGCUACUCAGAAUGGGUAGUUGCGUAAGAUAGCGUUUAAUUUCUCAUAUUGCUUGCUCACAGUCACUUGUCCGUCCGGUUGUGCUGACUCCUUUUAGUGUGAGGAAAAAAAGUCUUAGCUUGUCUGUGAAACGGGUUAUAAAGCAUCCUAAUGCAGCUAGACGGCUUGUGAGACACUGCAACUCUUUUUUGGAACUUAGGGGAAAUGUUGCCAUGGCAGCUUUGAUUUGGUCUGGAUUGACUUCUAUGCCCCUUUGAGUGACCAUGAAUCCCAAGAAUUUGCCUGCGCUAACACCAGAAGCGCAUUUGGCUGGAGUAAGCUUCAUGUUGUAUCAUCUCAUCAAGCGAAAGAUUUCUUCUAAAUGCUGGGCAUACUCACUCCUGAUUCUACUUUUCACCAUAAUGUCAUCAAUAUACACCUCUACAAUGCGUCCGAUUAGAGGUUUGAAGAUCUUUGUCAUCAGCUUUGGGUAAGUGGCUCCGGCGUUCUUGAGCCCAAACAACAUGACUCUGUAGAAAUAGAGUCCGUGUGGUGUUAUGAAGGCGGUUUUUUUUUUUUUUCAUUUGGUUGGUACAUAGGAAUUUGGUGGUACCCGAAAAAAGCAUCUAGGAAGGAGAGCAUUCCAUGUCCGACGGUGGAAUCUACUAUCUGAUUUAUCUAGGGCAAGGAAAAACUAUCUUUUGGGUAGACGUCAUUCAAGUUAGUGUAGUCGACACAAACUCGUCAUUUUCCUCAUUUUUUUGGGACCACAACCACGUUUGCCAAUCAAUCGGGAUACUCAACUUCUUUGAUAAAUCCAACUGCCAACAACUUGUCUACUUCAACUUGAAUUGUUGAAAGGAUAUACAUUAGAAGAAAGACCUUCUACGAAACAUGAAAUAAAUUCAGACAAUACUUCUAGCAAUGUGAAGGCUGAAGAGAAUGAGAUGGCUAAUGAUAAAAUUAAUAAUAAUUAUGCGUUCAGUGUGUUUUUGGUUGAAUUCUUAGUGAAUAGAAAGUUGAUUUCUCUUUCAAAUGAAUUGAGCUUUCAUGAGCAGUAUUCUGUUACUAUGAAGAAUGGGAAGUAUUAUAUACCAAGACAAUUAUACGCUAUAUGUAAUUUCGAUAUUAGUCUCUUUCCGAUCAAACUCAAUCUACCAAUGAUAUGUUAGCCUUUGGAUUGGAAACCCAUAAGAGAUGAUAUAAUACCUUCAUCUUUAUCCGAUAUGCGUGGCGGUUACUUAAGCAUACCAUUAGAGGAUUUUUAUCAACAAAAACGCUAUCCGGAUGGAAACUUCGGAUUUUCUAGUGGACAGGUCUUGAGGAUGGCAUAACAUUAAGCCGAUACGAGGCUAUUGAUGGGUGGAUCCUGGGCAUGUCAGAAUGGGUCCAUGCGAAGACAUCUUUAUUUUGAUGAAGUACUCUUUCAAGAGCUUGAAACUCUUCCAGUUCUAGGAGGGAGCUGACAUAGGUAAAGUGAUUACUUUUCUCUGAGAGAUGUAUGAACUGUAGGGGGUCAACUGUUGGCAGAUCUAUCUCCGUUAGGCUUUGUAAUUUCUAUUGUUUCGUUGCACCUGUUGGUUCUGUGGGUGGUUCGUUAUCGCUGGCGAACCCGGACUCGCAUGCUACCUGAUAACAUUGGUGUGCUGCUAGUUGGCUUCCAUAGAGGUUGAUCUGUCCGUCUUCGAUUAGGUAACUCACCAUUUGGUGAUAUAUAGAGGGAAUGGACUUCAUGCCAUGUAGCCAUGUGCGCUCCAUGAUGGCAUUGAACGGGGACAAGUCUUCUAUCACCAAAAAUUGUAUGUUCAGGAUAACUGGCUUGGCUUGGACAGGCAGCAUGAUAUCACCCAGAAAGGUGGUAAAAGCUCCAUUGAAUCCUGACAGUAUUCGCCCGAGAUUUUCUAGAGCUGAUGGUGGGAACUCCAUCUGUUUAAAUGCAGACAUCUGUAACAGGUCAAUUGAACUACUUGGAUCAACAAAAAUUUGUCUUACAUCAAAAUUGCUAAUCCCUAAUGUUAGGAUGAGGGCGUCUUGAUGUGGCUGUAACACUCGGUUGAGGUCUACUGGGGGAAAUGUGAUUACCCCAUUUAUUGGGUGUAUGCCCCCAUCAGCCAAUCCGGGUUGGAUGGAAUUAACCUGUUCUGGUACGGAGGCGGCUCAAAGUAACUUUUGCCUCUUCCGUUUAGCGUUGUAUUUAUCAUCAAUGGGUCCUCCAUGAAUAUAAUUGAUUAUGACUCUAGGAGCCGUUGAAGUUAUAUGGGCCGUGGUGACCAGAUUCCGGGCUACUUUCCCACGUUUUUCUUUUGAGCGAACGUACUAUUUCAGAUGUCCAGCUCUUAUUAAUUUUUCCACCAAGUAAUGGAGACUUCUACAUUGUUUCGUGGUGUGGCCAUGUUUUUUGUGAUAAAUAUACUUUCUGCUCCGAUCCCUUUUAGUUGGAUCCGUCUUUAUUGGUUAUGGCCAUUUGAAAUCAGAUAGCUCACGGAUCAUGGGGAGAAGUUUCUCGUAUUAAAUGUUAAGGGGGGUGAGGUUGGUUUGGUAUGACUGCUGCCGUUCGCCUUGCCCUCUACUCAAUUGCCUUCGUUGGCUCGUGGUUUUAGAGCUCCUAGUUGAGUCAUUUUUGGUAGGUCAACUGGUGACCAUGACCUAUUGAGUAGCUGCGCAACCGUCAUCCUUGAGCAUAGAGUAUUUAUUUGCUCAUUUGAACAAAUCAUCCAUAGUCGUUGGAGGCUUCUUGGCGAGAGAUUUAAAGAAGGGUGUACCUGAGUAGAUACUCUUUUUAAAGAUUUGUAAGACGACGUCCAUGCUGUAAGAUUGCACUUGGAGUACAACUUGCCCGAACUGCUUCACAAAUUCCCUCAGCGAUUCAUUUUCCUACAUUUUUAUGUUUUGCAAGGUAAUGAUGUUUUGCUUAUGCUGUUUUGAGCAUAAAUAUUGUCCCACAAAAGCCUCCGAUAGAUCCUGAAAGUUAUUCACAUAAUUCAUCGGGAGGCGGUGGAACCACGAAAGAGCCUAGCCUUGGAGGCUGGCUAGAAAGACCUUGCAUAGUAGUGUGUCAUUCCCUACGUUAAGGGUCAUGAGUUACCUGUAGUGCAUGAUAUGGUCAAUUGGAUCGUUGGUUCCAUCAUAUGUAGAGAAUUUUGGAACCAUGAACCCUCUUGAGGGCUUGUAGUUGAUGAUGUAAGGGUUGAAAGGUGUGGAGAGCAUGUCAUCUAGUCGCCUACUAACAGAGCCGGGAGGACCCCUACUUACCAGAUCCCCCACUGGUUGUUGUACUAGCGGAUAAGGGAGCCAAUCAGUUACGAUUGGUGCGGUUGGGAAACCGUCGCUAUAUGCGAUUUCCCCCCCAUGCCAGGCAUCUGAGGCCCUAACUUUGCGCGCAUUGCAUCCGAUAGCUGGGACUUCCUAUUGCGUCUCAUUUUUGCUAAGACGCGAGUGGAGUCAAAACUCUCAUCUUGCUGCGCGUGGCAGGCUGGUGAGGACCUUUGCUUAGAUUGCAUUUCUUGUUCAUUAUAGGGGAGCUCUGCAUUCCUAGGAUACAUUGCUUCCUUGUUCUGUCUAGAGUUCGCGCGCUAACUUCUAGGUUGUCGACUACGAGGAGGACCCAAUGAGGACACCUGAAUACGCACCACUUCGUUCUCCUCCCCGAGUCUCCUUGUUUUGAGGAGUAGGGCUUGCAUCUGUCUAUCACUCUCGCUCUGACAUCUUUCCAUACUCUGGCACCAGUUGAAGUAGUCUUUGCUACCUAUGGCCGACGAUCGACUUCUAGAAGGUGUUGACAUUUGUAUUUCGUUCCCAUAGACGGCGCCAAUGUUGAUACCAGGUCAACUGAGGAUGGAUUCCUCCAUCUGAAGUGGCAAUGAAAGCUCUCGUUCAGAUGCUGGAAUCUGGACUUCUUGCUUCCCUGCACAAGAUGUCCAAACGGAUCGUCCGGGCACACCCUCGCCCAAGUUAGAUGCUAAGAAGAAUGGAAACCCUUAGAAAGAGAGAGAGAGAGAGAGAGAGAGAGAGAGAUCAUAAAACUCACAAUGUUCUCCCCUUAUGUUCUAUUACAGUAGGGUUUUUAUAGUGUUCAAAGGUGGAGAGGGGCUCAGUAGUGCUGAGCUGACCAUUGUAAUGAUGAUUGCGUAGUAGUGAUAGGGCAAUCAUCAUAUUUGCAAGACGACUGGGGGUGGUGUCAGACGACGCGUCAUGACAUAACUUGCCAUGCUUUCAAUUUUGCUGGUGACCUGAGACUUGACGUGCCUAUCUACUGAAGUAGACAUGAGGAUGAGAAGGGUCUCAUCAGUCAAUUUGGUGUCAACUAACCAGGGUCUUGCAUAUUAGAGAAGAUUUGAGGCUAUUAGGGGGAUGCGGGCUGUUCAGUGGCGCAAAUGGUCCUAAAAGAAUGUUCCAUUGGGUGCUUUAAAGGUUGUCCGAGUAGUGAUAAAGAACUGUCAUGUGGCCUAGCUGGGAUAAUGCCACGUGGACAGAUGUAUGGAUGUACUCGUGAGUGGACACGUGGGAUAAGGCCCCCACAUUAUCAAUAUUGUCCCUCGAAUAAUGACCAAAUUCUUGGCAUUGAAAUGUGAAAAACGAAGUAGGAAUGAGUGAAGUAUUAAAAAGAAGGUGACUUAGCUUCAUUGCCAACAAGUCUUUAGAGGAACUUCGCCUAUAACUUACAUCAGAUGAGAAGGAGCCAUGACUUCGUGAGUAGCUUUCAUCAUAUAAGAAGAGUUCUUGACGUAUAAUUAGGUAUGCCUAGGGCCGGCAUCAUUGCUUACCAGUCUUUCACGGGUCAGCGUAUGUAGCUAUCUUACAUAAAAUAAAGAUACAUCACGAUUUCAUGUGUCAGGGUGACGGUCCAGUUGUCUCAUUCCCAUUCCCACAACGUCACGUAUACGGUGGAGCCAAAUUUGACAAAGGGCACCUUCAGAUGAGACCCUUUCCCAUCUUAAAUUGGUUAAAUAUAAUUCAUCUCCAUUAAAAAAUCUUGGGACAUCCUUUGAUUGACAGUUCCAUGUUUGAAAAGCUGAUCAAGAUAUUGGAUACUUGAUUGGUAUAAUAAUGCCUUCCUCCUUAAUUUCCUACGUGAAGCAGCGGAUAUAAAACCAACAUUUUCUUAACCAACCACAGAUACAUUUCUAAACCAAACUUGGAAAGACAUGGGAAACCUAUUUUCCUCCUUUCUUCUCAUCCUUCUUAUCUCUUUCUUCUUCUCUUUUACAACUUCCAAAACCCAGAACUUUUUGCAAAGAGGCUCCUCUCUCUCUGUCGAAGAUGAUUCGGACGACUACAUCACCUCCCCAGACAAAUCAUUCACUUGUGGUUUCUAUGGGAUGGGGGAAAAUGCUUACUGGUUUUCAAUAUGGUUCACAAAUUCAAAGGAAAGAACUGUUGUUUGGAUGGCCAAUCGAAAUAGACCUGUCAAUGGCCGGGGCUCCAGAAUUUCGCUGCAGAGAGAUGGCACCAUGAUGCUAAGGGAUGCUGAUGGCUCAACUGUUUGGGAGACUAACACUACCUCUACUGAUGUUGAUCGAGCAGAGCUUUUGGACACUGGAAACCUUGUUCUCAAGGACCCACGAGGUAAAAUUCUGUGGCAAAGCUUUGGUUUUCCAACUGAUACUCUUCUGCCAAACCAAAUCUUUACCACGAGCACAAAGCUGAUCUCUAUACUCAGAAGAGGGGAUUUUUCUUCUGGUUACUUUAACUUCCUUUUUGACAAUGACAAUGUCUUGAGAAUGAUGUAUGAUGGGCCUGAGAUUUCCAGAUUGUAUUGGCCUAAUCCUGAUUGGGAUGUUUUCGGAAAUGGAAGAACAAACUUUAACAGUAGUAGAACUGCUGUUUUGGAUGAAAUGGGGAGGUUUCUUUCGAGUGAUAAAAUGUCUUUCAACGCUUCUGACAUGGGUUUUGGAGUCAAAAGGAGGCUGACAAUGGACUACGAUGGAAACCUGAGGCUCUAUAGUUUAAACCAUUCCACGGGAUUAUGGGUGAUCUCAUGGAAAGCUCUUAGCGAACAGUGUAAAGUACACGGGUUAUGUGGUAGAAAUGGGAUUUGUAUUUAUACACCAGAACCCAAGUGUUCAUGUCCUCCGGGCUAUGAAGUAAGUGACCCAAGUGACUGGAGCAAAGGUUGCAAGUCUAAGUUCAACCAAAGCUGUUCCCAAACACAGCAGGUAAAAUUUUUGGAGCUUCCCCAGACCGAUUACUAUGGGUUUGAUCUCAAUUACAGCCAAUCUGUUUCAAUGGAAGCUUGCAGGAAAAUCUGCUUGGACGAUUGCCUUUGCCAAGGAUUCGCCUACAGGCUAACAGGAGAAGGGAACUGUUACGCAAAAAGUACCCUUUUCAAUGGCUACAAGUCCUCCAACUUCCCUGGGAGUUUAUAUUUAAAACUGCCUGUGGAUAUCGAAACGUCAGCACCCACUGUCCUCAAUGGUUCUGAUCUCAUAUGCGAGUCCAAGGAGGUUGAGGUUGUGCACAGUUCUUCUGUAUAUGACACUGCCAGUAAAAAGAUGAGAUGGGUUUAUCUCUACUCAUUUGCUUCUGCCAUUGGUGCCAUAGAAGUUCUCUUUAUUGUGUCAGGUUGGUGGUUUCUUUUCAAGGUACAUAAUGUGCCAUCUUCAGCUGAAGAUGGAUAUGGUUCGAUAUCAAGCCCGUUCAGGAGAUUUAGCUACACCGAACUCAAGAAGGCAACCAACAAUUUCAAAGUGGAGCUUGGAAGAGGAGGCUUUGGGGCUGUUUAUAAGGGUGUUUUGGAGGAUGAAAGGGCAGUAGCAGUGAAGAAAUUGGGAGAUGCCACUCAAGGGGAAGGGGAGUUUUGGGCUGAAGUAAGCACAAUCGGAAAAAUCUAUCACAUGAACCUAGUCAGAAUGUGGGGAUUCUGUUCAGAGGGUAGACACAGACUUGUAGUCUACGAGCAUGUAGAAAAUCUGUCACUGGAUAAGCAUCUCUUCAGCACGAGUUGUCUGGGAUGGAAAGAGAGGUUUAACGUUGCAGUGGGGACAGCGAGGGGUUUAGCCUACCUUCACCAUGAGUGUCUAGAAUGGGUUAUCCACUGUGACGUGAAGCCUGAAAAUAUACUUCUAGACAACGGGUUUGAACCAAAGAUUGCAGAUUUUGGGCUAGCCAAGCUGUCUCAGAGAGGUGGCCCCGGUUCAGGAGAAUUCUCUCGGAUUCGGGGGACUAAAGGGUACAUGGCUCCAGAGUGGGCUAUGAAUCUUCCAAUUACGGCAAAAGUUGAUGUUUAUAGCUAUGGAGUUGUGGUUUUAGAGAUGGUGAGGGGAAUUCGGCUUUCGAAAUGGGUGGGUGAGGAUGGCGAGGAGCAGGAAGCUGAGCUGACGAGGUUUGUCAGGGCAGUGAAAAGGAAAAUUCAAUAUGGAGAAGACAAUUGGGUAGAGGAUACAGUGGACCCAAGAUUGAAGGGGAAGUUUAGUAGGCAGCAGGCAACAAUGUUGGUCGAAAUAGGUAUUUCUUGUGUGGAGGAAGAUAGAAGUAAAAGACCAACAAUGGCCACCGUAGUCCAAGUUCUACUGGAAUGCGAAGGUGAAGCCCAAGUCCAAACCUUGGACUUGGAGUAAAUGUCUUUUUUUAUUUAUUUACUGAAUAAGUUAUGGGGUCUGUAUCUCCUGAACAAAUUACAUAGUUGUCAUUGGUUUUUCUUGUUUUCUUUUUGUAUGGGGUCUGUAGCCACUUCUUUGGCACUACAUCAAUUUGGAAUCUUACAAGUUCAUGGUCCUGGGUAGCAUAAAAUAUUCACCUUCCAUAUAAUAAUAGAAAUACGCUGAAUGCAGAUAAUACCAUUCUUUAAAAAUUAAAAAUCCAUGCGAGUGUGUCCAAAUUUGGCAAGUGGGGUGGCGACUAGGUGGGUCACAACGGUCAUUAUAUUCCAAACCCCAAUUAGUUAUUCUCAUGCUCGCCCACCAGUUCUUGUUUUUCUCUCUCUCUCUUUUUUUUUUUCUUUUUUUUUUUUAAAUCUUAAUUAUAUUUAAAAUAAAUAUAAUUUGUAUGUAAAUAAAUAGUAUAACUUUUUAUGAUUUAUUUUUAUAAGAUAUAUUUUCAUUUUAUAUUUGUUAAAAACUAAAAAAUAUUUUUUAUUUAAUUAUAUAUAUAUAAAUUGGAUGAGACAAUACAAUAUCUCAACUACCCCCAUCAAAAUAAGAAAAUUCAAAUCUAUCACUAAUUUUAUAUGUCUUAUCCGAAACUCAUCUAAUGUCACCUAAAGUACGUGUAUCCGCGAAAACAUGCUUCAGGUCCAUUCCUAAUUGAGACAUCUUUUUUGACGGUCUGUUCACCUCAAAGCUCAAUGUCUGACAACCAAGUGACCAACCAAGCACGUCUUCUCGAAGAAAGGACCAAGCAUUUUCUGAGAACAGCUUAAGACGGUGAGUUUAAGACCAAAAUAAUCUAUUUAUAAAAAAAAAUUGACAAGAAUAGUACCCAUCUCAAAAUAUUUGUCAAAGUAAUCUUUUGUAUCCACGUAAGCAUAUACAUAAAUUUUUUUUUUAAGUGUAAAAAAUCACCGUUGGUAACUCUGGUUUUAAAAGUUUCAAAAAUAUCAUUAAAACCAUAGUUUGUGACUUUGGUUUUACAAUUUCCUUAAAACCAUAGUUACUAACUGUGGUUUCAAAAUUAUUUUUAAUCCACCCCCGUUUGAAUGGUACUGUGAUUUUAAUAUUAAUUUUAAAAUAUUCUUUAUCAUAAUAACCAUAAAACCAUAGUUAGUUUCACACUUUACCAAAAUUUCUUAACGAUGUACCAAAUUUCCUUAAAAUUCGUUUCGGAGUGGAGAAAUCUUUUUACAAUUUUCCAUUAUCAGUUUAAAACUAUUUUUUUUUUUAUAAAUUAUCCUUAAUAAAUUUUUUCUUUAUGACUGUUUUAAAAUUAUAUAUAUAUAUAUUAUCUUUAUUUUUUUUUUCAUAUUUUCCUUGAAAUUUUGAGAAAAUAAUUUCGCUUACAUGCAUUUCCAUAAAAAUUUAUAUAUUUAUGGUAAAUAAAAUAUUUAUUUGUUUUAUGAAUUUUAUCACAUAUGAAUUAAAGAAAAUUAUUUUUAAAUUUUAAAGUAAUUAAACAAAUUGUUUAUAUUAUUUAAAAUUUUAUAUUUUCAUAUAAAAAAUAAUGUCAAUGAUUAUGAUUUUAGGUUAUUCCUUACUAAUUGUGGUUUAAUGGUUAUUAUGAUAAAAAAUAUUUUACCAUUAAAAUGGAGGUGGAUUAAAAAUAAUUUUGAAACCACAGUUAGUAACUGUGGUUCUAAGGAAAAUUGUAAAACCAUAGUCACAAAUUGUGGUUUUAAGCAUAUUUUUGAAACUUUUAAAACCACAGUUACCAACAGUGGUUUUUUACACUUAAAAAAAAAAUUCAUGUGGAUGCUUACGUGCAUACAAAAGAUUACUUUGACAAAUAUUUUGAAAUGGGUACAAUUCUUACCAUUUUUUUUUUUUACAAAAGGAUUAUUUUGGUCUUAAACUCCAAGUCAGCCUUACUCUCAAUGCUUAGCUUGCUAAGCUAAGAUGCACCCGACUUAGAAGCUUUAGAGGGCGUAGUAGACAACACUUAAAGAAUGAAAUCGUUAUUGCUCAAAGGAAGCUUUACAAGUGCUUUGGAACUCACUUGGUUGGUUGGUUGGUUAGGUUCUUGGGUAGUGCCUUGGCCAAAUGAGGCUUUAACUUAUUUAUAGGCACCUUAGGAAGUCUCUAAAAUCUUGAAAGGUUCCUUACAAAUCAAGAAUAAUCUAGAAGCUAUUACACUAGUCUAUGUACAAAGGAAUGUACAAGAUGACUUUUCAAGAUUCUAGAACACCCUACACUAUUCCAAUGUUCUCCUAGCCAAGUGUAGAGAUGUAUGAACAUCUCUAACCCUUUUUAGAAGUUUCCAUAUUCUUUACUUUGUAACUAAGUGUAGAUGUCUCCAAGGGUCUCUAGAAGCUUCUCACAUCUUAUAUAAGGCUAUAUGGAGGGUCAUUUGAAACAUCUUGUGACAUUAAGGCCAAACUACGUAAAUGUUGUGUAUUUUGUUUUCGUUUUCUUACUCUUUUAUGUAGGACCUCAGGCGCUAUCAACUCUCUAAAAAGCAAUUGUUGUUAGGAGAGUUGAUAGCGCCUGAAGUCCUACAAGUGGUAUCAGAGUCGAGGUCACGGGUUCGAACCCCAAGGGUAUUGUUGGGGGGGGGGGGGGGGGAAGAGAUUGUUGGCAAAUCGAAGGGUUGGCCACGUCCAUCAACUUCCCUUGUAUUCGUCGUGGGCGCUUGGGUGAAUACACUAUAAGGUUAGAGUAUGCACAUUUCCUAACAACAAUUACUUUUAGGAGAGUUGGUAGUAUUUGAGGUCCUACAUCUUCUCCUUAUUAUUAUUUUUUUAUCGUGGUUUUUACACAGCAAUAGUCACUAAUUAUGAUUUUAUGUUUAAAAAUAAAAAACCAAAACUGUACUUAUUAAAAAAAAUAAAAAAAAUCUUCGGUAACUUGAAUACCCAAGUGUGUCAAAUGCAGUAGUUUGAGAGUUAUUUUGAUUGAACAUAUACUUUUGGAUUUCUUUUUCUUUUAAUUUUAUGAAUUUUUUUUAAAUAUAUUCUUUUUUCUCAAAGCUUAGAACUCAGCAUGUCCUUGGUUACAUAUAUAUUCGUUUAAACUACAAACAUAUAUAGAUUAUAAAGUAUUAAGGAUGAGGUAUGAACAUAUAAAAAAUGGACAAGAAGGAACAAAUGGAAGAUUCAUGGUGGUGUGUGAAAUGAAAUCUCCAAUAGAGAUUCACUAAUUAUACUGUGAAUGCGGUGGUUUGAAAAUCCAAUAGCAUCCUCGUUGAGAAUGAUCAAAUUUUAGGGUUUUACCAAUAUUGUCCCCCUGGAAUAAUGACCAAAUUCUUGGCAUUGAAAUGUGAGAAACGAAGCCGGAAUGUGUGGAGUAUUAAAAAGAAGGGUGACUUAGCUUCAUUGCCAACAAGUCUUUAGAGGAACUUCGUCUAUAACUUACAUCAGAUAAGAAGAAGCCACGACUUCGUUAGUAGCUUUCAUCAUAUAACAAGAGUUCUUGAGGUAUAAUUAGGUAUGCCUAUGGCCGGCAUCAUUGCUUACGAGUCUUUCACGGGUCAGCGUAUGUAGCUAUCUUACAUAAAAUAAAGAUACAUCACGAUUUCAUGUGUAGCUUAAAUGAGGCAAGGAGAGGCCUUCACUUACGAAAACUUGUGUAAGGCAUUAAUAUCAGGGUGACGAUCCAGUUGUGUCAUUCCCAUUCCCACGUCAUGUAUACGGUGCAGCCAAAUUUGACAAAGGGUACCUUGAGACCCUUUCCCCGCUUAAAUUGGUUAAAUAUAAUUCAUCUCCAUUAAAAAAUCUUGGGACAUCCUUUGAUUGACAGUUCCAUGUUUGAAAAGCUGAUCAAGAUAUUGGAUACUUAAUUGGUAUAAUGCCUUCCUCCUUAAUUUCCUACGUGAAGUAGUGGAUAUAAAACUAACAUUUUCUUAACCAACCAAAGAUGCAUUUCUAAACCAAACUUGGAAAGACAUGGGAAACCUAUUUUCCUCCAUUCUUCUCAUCCUUCUUAUCUCUUUCUUCUUCUCUUUUACAACUUCCAAAACCCAGAACUUUUUGCAAAGAGGCUCCUCUCUCUCUGUCGAAGAUGAUUCGGACGACUACAUCACCUCCCCAGACAAAUCAUUCACUUGUGGUUUCUAUGGGAUGGGGGAAAAUGCUUACUGGUUUUCAAUAUGGUUCACAAAUUCGAAGGAAAGAACUGUUGUUUGGAUGGCCAAUCGAAAUAGACCUGUCAAUGGCCGGGGCUCCAGAAUUUCGCUGCAGAGAGAUGGCACCAUGAUGCUAAGGGAUGCUGAUGGCUCAACUGUUUGGGAGACUAACACUACCUCUACCGAUGUUGAUCGAGCAGAGCUUUUGGACACUGGAAACCUUGUUCUCAAGGACCCACGAGGUAAAAUUCUGUGGCAAAGCUUUGAUUUUCCAACUGAUACUCUUCUGCCAAACCAAAUCUUUACCACGAGCACAAAGCUGAUCUCUAUUCUCAGAAGAGGGGAUUUUUCUUCUGGUUACUUUAACUUCCUUUUUGACAAUGAUAAUGUCUUGAGAAUGAUGUAUGAUGGGCCUGAGAUUUCAAGCUUGUAUUGGCCUAAUCCUGAUUGGGAUGUUUUCCAAAAUGGAAGAACAAACUAUAACAGUAGCAGAAUUGCUGUUUUAGAUGAAAUGGGGAGGUUUCUUUCGAGUGAUCAAAUGUCUUUCAAAGCUUCUGACAUGGGUUUUGGAGUCAAAAGGAGGCUGACAAUGGACUACGAUGGAAACCUGAGACUCUAUAGCUUAAACCAUUCCACGGGAUUAUGGAAUAUAUCAUGAGAAGCUCUUAGGCAACAGUGUAAAGUGCAUGGGCUAUGUGGUAGAAAUGGGAUUUGUAUUUAUACACCAGAACCCAAGGGUUCAUGUCCUCCGGGCUAUGAAGUAAGUGACCCAAGUGACUGGAGCAAAGGUUGCAAGUCUAAGUUCAACCAAAGCUGUUCCCAAACACAGCAGGUAAAAUUUGUGGAGCUUCCCCAGACCGAUUACUAUGGGUUUGAUCUCAAUUACAGCCAAUCUGUUUCAAUGGAAGCUUGCAGGAAAAUCUGCUUGGACGAUUGCCUUUGCCAAGGAUUCGCCUACAGGCUAACAGGAGAAGGGAACUGUUACGCAAAAAGUACCCUUUUCAAUGGCUACAAGUCCUCCAACUUCCCUGGGAGUUUAUAUUUAAAACUGCCUGUGGAUGUCGAAACGUCAGCACCCACUGUCCUUAAUGGUUCUGAUCUCAUAUGCGAGUCCAAGGAGGUUGAGGUUGUGCACAGUUCUUCUGUGUAUGACACUGCCAGUAAAAAGAUGAGAUGGGUUUAUCUCUACUCAUUUGCUUCUGCCAUUGGUGCCAUAGUAGUUCUCUUUAUUGUGUCAGGUUGGUGGUUUCUUUUCAGGGUACAUAAUGUGCCAUCUUCAGCUGAAGAUGGAUAUGGUCCGAUAUCAAGCCCGUUCAGGAGAUUUAGCUACACCGAACUCAAGAAGGCAACCAACAAUUUCAAAGUGGAGCUUGGAAGAGGAGGCUUUGGGGCUGUUUAUAAGGGUGUUUUGGUGGAUGAAAGGGCAGUAGCAGUGAAGAAAUUGGGAGAUUCCACUCAAGGGGAAGGGGAGUUUUGGGCUGAAGUAAGCACAAUCGGAAAAAUCUAUCACAUGAACCUAGUCAGAAUGUGGGGAUUCUGUUCAGAGGGUAGACACAGACUUGUAGUCUACGAGCAUGUAGAAAAUCUGUCACUGGAUAAGCAUCUCUUCAGCACGAGUUGUCUGGGAUGGAAAGAGAGGUUUAACGUUGCAGUGGGGACAGCGAGGGGUUUAGCCUACCUUCACCAUGAGUGUCUAGAAUGGGUUAUCCACUGUGACGUGAAGCCUGAAAAUAUACUUCUAGACAAUGGGUUUGAACCAAAGAUUGCAGAUUUUGUGCUAGCCAAGCUGUCUCAGAGAGGUGGCCCCGGUUCAGGAGAAUUCUCUCGGAUUCGGGGGACUAAAGGGUACAUGGCUCCAGAGUGGGCUAUGAAUCUUCCAAUUACGGCAAAAGUUGAUGUUUAUUGCUAUGGAGUUGUGGUUUUAGAGAUGGUGAGGGGAAUUCGGCUUUCGAAAUGGGUGGGUGAGGAUGGCGAGGAGCAGGAAGCUGAGCUUACGAGGUUUGUCAGGGUAGUGAAAAGGAAAAUUCAAUAUGGAGAAGACAAUUGGGUAGAGGAUACAGUGGACCCAAGAUUGAAGGGGAAGUUUAGCAGGCAGCAGGCAGCCAUGUUGGUCGAAAUAGGUAUUUCUUGUGUGGAGGAAGAUAGAAGUAAACGACCAACAAUGGCCACCGUAGUGCAAGUUCUACUGGAAUGUGAUGCCCAAGUCCAAACCCUGGACUUGGAGUAAAUGUCCUUUUUUUUUAUUUACUGAAUAAGUUAUGGGGUCUGUAUCUCCUGAACAAAUUACAUAGUUGUCAUUGGUUUUUCUUGUUUUCUUUUUUUAUGGGGUCUGUAGCCACUUCUUUGGCACUACAUCAAUUUGGAAUCUUACAAGUUCAUGGUCCUGGGUAGCAUAAAAUAUUCACCUUCCAUAUAAUAAUAGAAAUACGCUGAAUGCAGAUAAUACCAUUUUUUUUUUCUCUCAAAAAGAAAAGAAAAAGGAAAAAAAAAAAAAGAGACAGAAGUCUGUAAAAUAGCAUUGGGUGAAAAUAAAUAUAGGCCCGGAAUUGAACAGUUUCAUGCAAUCACAGAAAAGGUCCUAUCAAUGAAACUGAAAGCAUCACAAAAUCCUGUUGAAUUAAAACCUAACUUCUGCCAGCAAACUGCCUAAGAAUUAAGGACACAUAAAAAACAGAAAAUUCAAGUGACCUGGAGCGAUGCAAAUGGUAGUAAAGAUGCAGUCAUUACUGAAUCAAUAAAAAAGAAAAAAUAGUUUUAAUUCCAAAUUCAUACAUAAAGCUUGGGUAACAGUUUGUUUGAUGAAAUUGAAAAUUAAGUAGAGAGAAAUAUAUUGCAUCAUGCUAAUAUAAAAUGCCUACUUACAUAAUUUGUGUACUAAAACUGUUGGAUGAGGCCCAAUUGAAAAUUUAUGAUUUCUGGAAUGUUGUAAAGUCCAUAACUUGUUAGUAACUAAUAAAGGAAUAAUAAAAAUUGUUUAUGCCAACUAUUUUUGCUUGGAUAAUCUGGAACUGAGAACCGUUAUUUGUGGCGUUAUUUUAGUUUUUGACGUCAUGCUCCUCAAGCAACAUCAUCUUAUAUGGCUAUUUUUAGGAUAAGGUCCAACAUGAACUAGUGCAAGUGUGAAGAUUGCAUUUUGUCAUGUCUCAGACUCUGCAGUAGAGGGAAUCAUACUCUCUCCAUUUGACUUGACAUGUGAUAUGCUAGAAACCUGAAACAUGGCCUUGGUUUGGCUGGUGUCAUUUUUCACUACUCAAGAGAUUUCUUGCCCACAUGCUAAAGACUUAUAUGUAUAGUCUAUAUAACUAACUGCCCUUGGCAAAAACUCAGCGUGUCUGCAACGAAAGAAGUGUUAGCAAUAGCAUCGUAUGGAUAUGGCUUUGUGAUUCAACACAAAUGCAAUGACACUUUCCUUGAGAAUACCUGAAAUAAGAUGAAUAACAACAAAUGUCACACAAAAGCAAAUUGGUCGUGCCAAUUAAGAAUUUCUGUUUCAUACAUGUCUGCAGGUUGAUGAGCUCAUGGGUGAUGUGGAAAGGGCUGUGUCCUUGGCCAGUGUGAUCCUUUAUUUGAGACUCAAAUCAUGAUUCUAUAAUUGAAAUGAGCCUUUUUUUUUUUUGGUAAAUUAUGUAAAAUUGCAUUAAAAAAAAUAUAUAGAUUCUUUAAGAAUUUUUAAAAAGUAAUCCAAUAAACAUGCAUUCAAAUAGUAAUUUCAUUCUGCCAUUGUUUUCUCCUUAUUGAUUAACCCAUUUGUUUUUUUUUUGGAGUUUUUUGUUUUUUUCAAACCUUGAAAUGACAAGUCAAAAGUUAACAAUUACUUUUAAUGUUGACAUGUGCCUAAUCAACAUGUCUCAUUAUUUUUGUUAUUUUUCUCUUUUCUUUAUUUUACCUAUAAAAUAAUCUACUUUUUAAAAUUUUAUUUUAUUUUUUUCACUUUUUGACCUUUUCAUAAUUAUUGAUUUUAAUUAUUUAGAUACACCUUAAAUAUAUAAUAAUAAUAACAACAAUAACAACAACAAUUAUAAUCUAUGAUAAAUAAUUAAUAAGAAAAAAUUAAUAUGCAAAUUUAGAAGUUUAAAAUAUAUAUAAGAUUUUAUAUAUUCAUAUUAAAUAAAAUAUUUAGUUAUUUGAUAAAUCUUAUUAAAUUGACAAUAAAUAUCAAAAUGCUUAUUAGAAAGGGUACUCAGAAUAGCAUGCCUAACUUGUUUAUUUCUAGUUUCCCUAGUUGGUAACAAAUGAGAACCAUCUUCUGGUUUUAGGUUAGUUAAAAUGUGCCCCAAGUUCACUACAUCAAUUGCAGAGAAAACUCUUUCUUGUCAUCUUUUAUAGAAUGUCUCGUUGAAGGGAUCAAUUUUAAAGGUGUCAGGACGAGUGUGAACUAGAUGAGCUUCCAUUUGGAUUUUAUUUCAAGAUUGUUGGAUUAAGGGUAUGGAAAUAAAUUACUAACCCAAAAGAUACAAACAAAGAACAAAAUGAAUAAGAAGAAAAACUUAUCGAUUGAGGUGUGACAAACAUUGUUCUUGAAAUAGAUCCACCCUUCUCGAAGAUGAACUCAGUUUACUAAGGUACCGAUGGUCUACCUCUAGGAUUCAACAACCAAAGAAUCUCCCCUUAGGUGCACGGAUUCAACAACCAAAGAAUCUUACCUUCUGAAAAACUCAUUUAAAAAAUUGGUAUUCAUAUUUUGAGAGUAAGGGGGUUACCUGUUUUUAUAGGCCACAAACACAGUCCCAACAGGACUCUACUUGUAAGUAGAAUAGGACUGAAGGUGGAACGGGAUUCUACUUAUAAGUAGAACGAGACUCCAUUAUCACAAUCCCAAUAGGACUCUUUCCAAAAAUAUAAGAUUAAGUCAUAUCAAAUAAAAAUAAAAAAUAAAAAAAAUAUUUUGAAUUUAAAAAAUAAUCUAAUUUGUUAAAACACUUUUUCAUAUUUACACUCUUCCUACAUCAUGUGUAGCUUAUAUAAGGCAAGGAAAGGCCUUCACAAAAGAGAACUUGUCUAAGGCAUUAUUUCCAAGGUGGUGGUCAAGUUUUCUCAACAGUCAGACUUCCUAGGAGGUAACGUACGUUCACAGUGCGCCCAAAUUUGACAAAGGGCACCUUCAGAUGUGACUCUUUUUAUAGUUAAAUUGGAUAAAUAUUUGUUGUCUCCCUAAGGUUUCUCAAUAAUUCAUCUCCCUCGAGGGCUUUUUUAACUUUUGCAACAAUUUUAAAAAAUAAUUAUUAAAAAAUGGUAGUUGGAAAAAUAUUGAUAGAUCUACGACAGUUUUGGCCACAUGGAAGGUGUCUUUUGAAGACACCUUCCAUAAUUUUCAAAAUCAUGAUACAUAUUUAAAAUAAUUGAAUUUAAACUAAAGGUGUCUCUUGAAGAGACACCUUCUAUAAUUCCAAAAAAUUGGAUUUAUACUAAAGGUGUCUCUUGAAAAGACACCUUCUACUCCACAAUUUGACAAAUUUGAAUGUUUCAUGAAUUUGAUUUUAAAGUUAAAGAUGUUUCUUGAAAAGAAACCUUCUAUAAUUAAAAAAAAAAAAAAUUAAUUUAUAUAAAAUGUGUCACUUGAAGAGACACUUUCCAUAAUUCCACAGAUUCCAAUAUAUAUUAAAGGUGUUUCUUCAAGAGACACCUUCUACAAUUCCAGAAAAUUGGAUUUAUACUAAAGGUGUCUCUUGAAAAGACACUUUCCACAAUUCCACAGAAUCCAAUACGUAUUAAAAAUUGUGGAAAUGAUUUUAAAGCCAAAGAUGUCUUUUGAAAAGACACAUUUAGUAUAAAUUCAAAAUUUUCCAAUGUGUAUGAAAAUUGUGGAAAGUGUCUCUUGAAGAGACACUUUCAAUAUAAACCAAUUUUUUUUUUAAAUUAUGGAAGGUGUCUCUUCAAGAGACACCUUUAAUAUAAUUCCAUUUUUUGGGAAUUGUGGAAGAUUUCUCUUCAAAAUUCAUUCCACAAUUUUUAAAAAAUUGGGUUUAUACUGAAAGUGUCUCUUUAAAAAACACUUCCCAUAAUUUUCGUACAAAUAGUGGAAAAUUUCGAAUUUAUGCUGAAGGUGUCUCUUCAAGAGACAUCUUCUACAAUUCCCAAAAAUAUGGAAUUAUACUCAGACACCUUUCAUAAUUUUUUUAAAAAAUUGGGUUCAUACUGAGAUCUAUGUGUCAUAAGAUCGUACGUCAGGGUACCUUUCAUCAGUGGACGUAAAUUUUUCUCUAUCGUUAAUUGACCAUCGACCGUUCACAGAAUCUCUUCAAUCUCGGGAUACGAUAUCACACAUCCUCAUUUAAUAAGUUAUUUUUAUCAUCCCGGUGAUAAGAAGGCAUGCAGAUUAUAAGUAUUGAUAUAAACAAACAUGAAAUGAACAACUCUAUGAGGCCAAAUUCCAAGUAAAAAGUGAAUUAUAAGUAGCGAGAAGAUCAAAGCGGUGAUCCAAAUCAUCCGCCUCAUUCGACAGAACGGGGGGUGCUCAACCUGUAUAAUCCCAGAGGUUGCUAAGGAGUUUGAUUAAGUUGAGUCGCUUGAGCCAACGAAAAAAACUUUUAUUUGCGUGCUAGUAUCAUUCCUUAAAACUGGUUUUUGGGGGGUAUCAUGCUUCCUUUAACUUGACUUAGCUUCCACUAGUUUGAUAAGUUUUGCUGUAUUGAGCACAAUAGGAGAGAUCACAUAAGAACCCAAUAGUAGUUGUGAAGAGACACUUUCCAUAAUUCCCAAAAAAUUGAAUUAUACUAAAGGUGUCUCUUCAAGAGACACCUUCCAUAAGUUUAAAAAAAUUGGGUUUAUACUGAAAGUGUCACUUCAAGAGACACUUUCCACAAUUUCAUGGAAAAUUUCGAAUUUUGAAGAGACACCUUCCACAAUUCCCAAAAAAUGGAAUUAUGCUAAAGAUAUCUAUUCAAGAGAUACUUUCCACGAUUUCCAUACAUAGUGGAAAUUUUCGAACUUAUGUUGAAGAGACACCUUCCACAAAAGAAAAAAAAAAUCUCUCAAUUAGUAUUACCUUCUAUAUAACCAAAUGUUUAAAGUUUAUCACCUGUAUACAUUAUAAUCAAUAUAUUGACAUUCAAUCCAAAACCAAUGAAAACAAGUAAACCAAAUGUUAAUUAAGUCAACACCUUUCCAAAAUAGUAACAAUACUAUUUUGUAUAAAAUAAGUCCAAAAUAGAUAGAAUAUUAUAGAACUUACAUUAAUAAAAAGUUAGUUAAUCCAAAAUAUAACAAGUAUAAAUAUACAUCUUCAGUAUUUUUCCAAGAUAAUGAUAUGCAAAAUAUUAACAAUAUCCAAAAUACAAGUCAUAUGUAGUAACAUCCUCAAUGUGUACCGUACGAAGGAGCCUUUCUCUUCCGUUGUGGACGUCUAUGAUAUGCAUGCUCCACUAUUGGCUCUAUGGGGCUAACAUGUACUCCUCCAUGAGCUCGACGACCAUGUCUCCUACCACGUCAUCGAUCAUGAUCAUUCGUUUGUCCUUGAUGAUCAUCAUUUGCUAUAUGAGCUAACUCCUCAUCAACCAAUGUAGCCUCUAUUGAUUGUGGUGAUGAUGCAACAGGUGGCGAGCUAAUGUCAAUUGAUGAUGCAUCUCUAAGAACAAAUAAAAGAUAUAUAUGACUGAAUCAAAUUAAAUUUAUUUAAUUUAUCAAAUUCAAUUUAAUGUAUUAAUUUAAUACAAGACAAAUUAUUUAAUUUUAACAAAUAAAAAGAUAGUAUAUCCAUUUUUAUAUAUAAUAAAUGAUUUGAAUAUUAAUUAAAAAUUAAAAAUUAAUUAAAUUUAAAUAUCGCUAAUUAAAUAUAAUAAUAAUAAUAAUUGUUUAAUUAAAAUGAUCCAAUACUUCAUUAUGUCCCAAGCCAAAUCUAACCCAUAUUUGAUUGGGUUAGUUUCAUUGUUUUCCCAAACCCAAUCCAAAUUACCCCAUCCAUAAUCUCCAAAAUCUCAUUGGAUUUGGUUCAAAGUUGCAACCCAGUGAAGAAUCCCAUUUUGCCCCAUGAAAUUGAAUUUGCCACUGCUAGUAGCAUUUCCUUCACUACAUUGGCAACAAGCUUCACCCAGUGAAGAAUCCCAUUUUACCCUCAUGAAAAAAGGCCCUAUUUUCCUCUCCCACUCUCAAUCCUCGCAAAUACUAAUCUAAUCAUGUUAUUAUUUUUUAUUUUUUUUGCAACCCCAUUUGAUUCCCAAGAAAAUCCAUCACCCAUUCGAUUUCUGGGAAAAUUCAUCCUCGUUUGAUUUCCGAGAAAAUCCAUGCAAAACCUUUAAGGAAAACCAAAAAAAUUGUUUUUUUUUUUUGGCUCCCUAUGCUUUCUGGAUCUGUUAUUUGCUUUUGUGCCAUUGGAUUUAAAUUUCACGAACCCUAAAUCCAUGAUUUUUGAGCUAGGCUUAAAAACACAACCUUUCCAUGCAAAUCAUGAUCAGAUUACCAAAUAGCAUCUUAUGUUUUUUUAUAUAAAAAAAAAAUUGGAUAGAUUUUGUAUCCUAUGCAUGGGCUGGAUUGGUAGGAAAUAUCGAGAAAUUCCCUGAAAAUUACUGAAAUUUGCUCCGACCAAUAAUUGGUGACGAAUAUUAUGUUGGAGUUGGUCGAAAAAAAAAUGAAAACAAAAUUUUCAACUUUCCCACACUUUCUUGGCAACCAAACAGAAUCACAACAAGCCGAACCACAAAAAAAAUAAAAACUUUCUCCAUAAUUUUUAGUCUACUCGGUUUCAUUGUAAAAAAAAAAAACGAAAACUUCAUUUUUUUUCAACUUUUCCACACUUUAUCGGUGACCAAACACAACCACACCACCUAAUAUAACCACAAAACUUACAGAAAACACCUGAGGGCAAUGGUGUCUCGGAUCUGCACUUCACUUCCUUCAUAUUGGCGUUGAGGCAAGGAUCUCCACUCCAUGAUCAAUGUGCGGGAAAAUGGGUUUUCAUACAGAGGACAAAAUGAGUUUUGAGGCAAAGAAGAAAAUGGGUUUGCACUUCUUUUCAAAUAUAAAAUACUAUUUUUUUCCCAUUGAGUUCUACGUGUUAAAAAGUGCCGUAGAAUUGGAAUUAUUUUCCAAUCUACAGCAUUUUAAAAAUUACUUUCCCCAAUAGCCGUAUAUUUAUAAAAAAAAUCCUCUCCCUCGCUAAGGUUUCUCAAUAAUUCAUAUCCAUUAAAAAAUCUUGGGGCAUCAUUACUCUGUGGUUGACAGUUUGUUUGAAAAGCUGAUCAGGAUAGUGGAUAAACUUAAUUGGUGCCAUGUCUUCCCUGCUUUCAUACGUGAACUAGUGGAUAUAAAUCCAACAUUUUCUUACCAACCAAAGAUACAUCGCUAAACAAAACUAGGAAAGACAUGGGAAACCUUAGUCCUACAUCUUCAAAGUUUCCUUCCAUUCUUCUUAUUCUUCUCAUAUUUCUCAUCUCCUUCUUCUCUGAUGCAACUUCCAACACCCAGAACCUUUUGCGAAGAGGCUCCUCUCUCUCUGUCGAAGAUGAUUCCGACUACAUCACCUCCCCAGACAAAUCAUUCACUUGUGGUUUCUAUGGGAUGGGGAAAAAUGCUUACUGGUUUUCGAUAUGGCUCACAAAUUCAAAGGAAAGAACUGUUGUUUGGAUGGCCAAUCGAAACAGACCUGUCAAUGGCCGGGGCUCCAGAAUUUCGAUGCAGCGAGAUGGCACCAUGAUUCUAAGGGAUGCUGAUGGCUCAACUGUUUGGGAGACGAACACUACCUCCAAAGAUGUUGAUCGAGCAGAGCUUUUGGACACUGGAAACCUUGUUCUGAAGGACCCACGGGGUAAAAUUCUAUGGCAAAGCUUUGAUUUUCCUACUGAUACUCUUCUGCCAAACCAAAUCCUUACUACAAGCACACAGCUGAUCUCUAUAAUCAGAAGAGGGGAUUUUUCCUCUGGUCACUUUUACUUCUUUUUUGAUAAUGACAAUGUCUUGAGAAUGAUGUAUAAUGGGCCUGACAUUUCAAGCUUGUAUUGGCCUAAUCCUGAUUGGAAUGUUUUCGGAAAUGGAAGAACAAACUAUAACAGUAGCAGAAUUGCUGUUUUAGAUGAAAUGGGGAGGUUUCUUUCGAGUGAUAAAAUGUCUUUCAAAGCUUCUGACAUGGGUUUUGGAGUCAAAAGGAGGCUGACAAUGGACUACGAUGGAAACCUGAGGCUCUAUAGUUUAAACCAUUCCACGGGAUUAUGGGUGAUCUCAUGGAAAGCUCUUAGCGAACAGUGUAAAGUGCAUGGGUUAUGUGGUAGAAAUGGGAUUUGUAUUUAUACACCAGAACCCAAGUGUUCAUGUCCUCCGGGCUAUGAAGUAAGUGACCCAAGUGACUGGAGCAAAGGUUGCAAGUCUAAGUUCAACCAAAGCUGUUCCCAAACACAGCACGUAAAAUUUGUGGAGCUUCCCCAGACCGAUUACUAUGGGUUUGAUCUCAAUUACAGCCAAUCUGUUUCAAUGGAAGCUUGCAGGAAAAUCUGCUUGGACGAUUGCCUUUGCCAAGGAUUCGCCUACAGGCUAACAGGAGAAGGGAACUGUUACGCAAAAAGUACCCUUUUCAAUGGCUACAAGUCCUCGAACUUCCCAGGGAGUUUAUAUUUAAAACUGCCUAUGGAUGUCGAAACGUCAGCACCCACUAUUCUUAAUGGCGCUGAUCCCAUAUGCGAGUCCAAGGAAGUUGAGGUCGUGCUGAGUUCUUCUAUGUAUGACCCUGCCAAUAAAAGGAUGAGAUGGGUUUAUCUCUACUCAUUUGCUUCUGCCAUUGGUGCAAUGGAAAUUCUCUUUAUUGUGUCGAGUUGGUGGUUUCUUUUCAGGGUACAUAAUGUGACAUCUUCAGUUGAAGAUGGAUAUGGUCCGAUUUCAAGUCAGUUCAGGAGAUUUAGCUACACCGAACUCAAGAAGGCAACCAACAAUUUCAAAGUAGAGCUUGGAAGGGGAGGCUUUGGGGCUGUUUAUAAGGGUGUUUUGGAGGAUGAAAGGGUAGUAGCUGUGAAGAAAUUGGGAGAUGUCAUUCAAGGGGAAGAGGAGUUUUGGGCUGAAAUAAUCACAAUCCAAAAAAUUUAUCAUAUGAAUCUUGUCAGAAUGUGGGGAUUCUGUACAGAGGGUAGACACAGACUUGUAGUCUAUGAGCAUGUAGAAAAUCUAUCACUGGAUAAGCAUCUCUUCAGUACGACUUUUCUGGGAUGGAACGAGAGGUUUAACGUUGCAGUGGGGACAGCAAGGGGUUUAGCCUACCUUCACCAUGGGUGUCUAGAAUGGGUUAUCCAUUGUGACGUGAAGCCUGAAAAUAUACUUCUAGACAAUGGGUUUGAACCAAAGAUUGCAGAUUUUGGGCUAGCAAAGCUGUCUCAGAGAGAUGGCCCCGGUUCCAAAGAAUUCUCUCAGAUUCGGGGGACUAAAGGAUAAAUGGCUCCGGAGUGGGCGAUGAAUCUUCCAAUUACGGCAAAAGUUGAUGUUUAUAGCUAUGGAGUUGUGGUUCUAGAGAUGGU